ACUCCUACGGGAGGCAGCAGUAAGGAAUAUUGGUCAAUGGACGCAAGUCUGAACCAGCCAUGCCGCGUGAAGGAUUAAGGUCCUCUGGAUUGUAAACUUCUUUUAUAUGGGACGAAAAAAGGUCUUUCUAGACCCCUUGACGGUACCAUAUGAAUAAGCACCGGCUAACUCCGUGCCAGCAGCCGCGGUAAUAC
rnacentral:rRNA from 1 species